rnacentral:rRNA from 1 species
GAUGAACGCUGGCGGCGUGCCUAAUACAUGCAAGUCGAGCGAACGGACGAGAAGCUUGCUUCUCUGAUGUUAGCGGCGGACGGGUGAGUAACACGUGGAUAACCUACCUAUAAGACUGGGAUAACUUCGGGAAACCGUAGCUAAUACCGGAUAAUAUUUUGAACCGCAUGUUUCAAAAUUGAAAGACGGUCUUGCUGUCCCUUAUAGAUGGAUCCGCGCUGCAUUAGCUAGUUGGUAAGGUACCGGCUUACCAAGGCAACGAUGCAUAGCCGACCUGAGAGGGUGAUCGGCCACACUGGAACUGAGACACGGUCCAGACUCCUACGGGAGGCAGCAGUAGGGAAUCUUCCGCAAUGGGCGAAAGCCUGACGGAGCAACGCCGCGUGAGUGAUGAAGGUCUUCGGAUCGUAAAACUCUGUUAUUAGGGAAGAACAUAUGUGUAAGUAACUGUGCACAUCUUGACGGUACCUAAUCAGAAAGCCACGGCUAACUACGUG